rnacentral:lncRNA from 1 species
UGUUCGUGGUGCAGAGAAAGCAGUAGAUGUCGAAAUGGAGAGUGCUGGUGCAUGAUUACAACAGCCGUCCAGCCCCGGGUGAGUGUAGCGUUAACUAAUACAAUAACUAAAUUAAAAUAAAUAAAUAAAAACAUACAAUUUUAAUAAAAAUCUAACUCUUUACUUGUGAUCUGCAGUAUCCUCUCAGAUUCUGAACACAUCAACCCCUCCUGACAUGUCAUCUUUCCAGUUUAAGAUAGCUCAUCGUCUCUACACACCCUAUCUACAUUGAAGUCACCCCUUGUAUUUGUCACCAGAUCACACCAAGCUAAGCCAGUAACCAUCAGCUGACCUUGGACUUGCCAAUGGGCACUUAACUUCUACCAGGCCAUAGGAAGGUUCUUCAUUUGGGUGCACCACUUUGCCAUCUGGACUUGCACUAAGGUGUGGAGCAUCUGGGUGGAUGAUGAGACCAGAUGGAAGAACAUUAACAUCAAAGAAACGAUGCAUUGCUUUGGUGUGGGGGGCACCUUUAAUGAUCCGGCCAGCCCGUGUCAUUGCAGUGGAUUCGGACCUCACAUGAGCUGCUUCAUAGAACUUGCUUGCUGUAAGUCAAGGGCAAUGCAUUCUAACCCAUAGUGGGCUUUUUGAUU